rnacentral:lncRNA from 1 species
CCGCCGAGGAGGCCGACGUCCUGCGCGGGUUUUGUGACGCCGAGGCCGCACACAAGGGCAGCCCGCCCCCCGCGGGGCCCGUCCCCGCGCCCGGGAAGCCUCUCGUGUGAUCGUGUCGGGAUCCUCCAAUAAAAAAGCUCCGUGCCAGUGUCAAUUUUGCUUGGGCCUUGGGCUUCUACACGCGCACGUUUGCUGCUGAAUAUAUGCAUUGUGUUUCUGGUUUUGUAAGAAUGUGCCAACGAUGAUGGUGCAAGGCUAAUAAAACGGAUUGAGUGCACCAGCAUGCUCAUGAUUGAUGGUUCAUUUCUUUCUUUCUUUUUCCUUUUUUUUGGGGGUCAAAGCGUGCACAACCAAGCCAGCGUUUUGAGGCCGGAGCCGCACGUGGGCUCGAUCGUUCGAUGUGUUCUGAGGUUUGCAGUGGCCCACCACGCAGGACGAUUUGGGCUGAGCCCUGUGAAUUUGUUGUCCAGCCUCUCUUUCUUCUUCGGUGGACAGGGCACUAUUGCGCUUUUUGUUCAUCGUCCCUAGCGCUAGCGGCAUAGCUACACUCAGACUAAGAUAAGAGAAAUCCUUGCCACAUUUCUUUUAAGAAAACAAACGCAAAAAAACCAAAAAAUCUGGCUCGUUUCAUGACACGAAUUGGUUGCACGGAGCCGAUCGAGUACACUACCAAGUGGCAACGUGCAGAGAGAUGCUGCCCAUCAUCCGAAAGAGGCUCCACCGCACCACGGACAGCCACCCAUUCUCUCUUCAGCCAUCGAUCAUCCAUGUGUAUCUUUCCAGUUCGCUGAUCGAUCUCUGCAUCAGCAUGGUGCCUGUCCAUCUGUACCGCUACUGAUAAGGGCUCUCCCUGGCGCGAUUCGAUGCAACGCCACAUCGACCGGCCAGCAAUAAUGGAGAUGGAGAUGGAGAUGGAGAUGCAGGCCGGCAGCAGCUGCCUGCAUUAUUGAUGCCUUCGAUUGGAUCCAAAGUUCCCAACCUACGUACCAUCACUGCUUUGGAUCGGUGCUAAAGGCACUCAGUCACCAAGCACAAAUCUUGUUUUACUUGAAUCAUCUUUUCCCCGAGCUUUUACAAAGUUAAGUUGAUGAUUCUUCUUGUUGAACUGGUGCUUAGCUUAAUUAGUUGGUGUGUGCUUCCCUACUGACCAGUCAUGACUCAUGAGUAGUAUUCCAUAACUGAAAAUUACGUGCCUCUUUUCACUCCAACGAGGAAACCUUAAUUUGUUUUUUAGAAAUUUUAGAAUGGUUGGAAAAAAUAAGAGCCGUCCAUCCUGAAAAAUCUAACGGUGGAAACAAAGGAAGUAUUUGAAGAGAAGUACCAAAGAUUACCAAAUUGAUAGGACAAAGUACCGAAAAUAGUCUUUAAAUUUAUUUUUUAUUUUUUUUCAAAUUAGACAGAGCCUGUUCGUUUAUGCUACUUUGCAGCGGCUUUAGCUGCAGCUGCAAAUCCAAGUAGCUAAGCUGCUGCUUGCUGGCUGCAGCUGCAAAAUAAUCGCAGCUCGCAGCGGCUUAAAAGAAGCACAAAUGACCGCACAGAUAGUACACUAUCUUGGUUUUCCUUCUCGUGGAGGACCUAGGUCCCAUGUGUAUUUCCUGUUUUUUUGUCACUUUAUAAUCGGCACUGACUGAUUGAUGCAUAGAAGCUUCGAAGAACAACGCCCCUUGGUGAAAACAAGAAAAUAGUGAACACGCUCUCGUUGUCAAGAUAGAGUUAUUAGGAAAUGUCAUCAUUUAAUUACAAUUAGUUGGGGAAUUCUGCCCCACAGAUUGCCAAGUUGGUGUUUCUUUAUUCUAAAAAGGAAUGGAGAUUUCUUUUUCUGAAUGUGUGGUUACAACGGAUGGAUGUAUUAGCCCAAUUUGCCAAACUCACCUUUAGUUAGUUGCAAUGAACAUAUUACGUUUCUUAAAAAUGUACAAUAGAUGUAUUUAUCAUAUAUUCCUUGUCGCAACUAGGUGCUCACAUGCUUGUGGAUUUCGUUUUCAGGAGGGAACGGUCCAUCUGCGGCAUAAUAAUGACAGCACAGUGCACAACCGCAACAACACUUAGGAUACAAAACACACUAAUCAUAUAAUUUCAUAUCCUAAAGAACCCACAAGUAGCUGAUCAAGUGUGUAUCCUACAGAUUCGCAAAAAAAAGUGUGUAUCCUACAGAAAAAUAUGAAUUCUGUCGCCAAAAAUAUCCGGAAAAUGCCUAUAAUUCACGGCGAAUUUAUUCAUCUUUGACAUGAGUAGACAAAGUUGGGCGUUAAAUGUUAAUUUCUAUCUCGAUCAGUCUACUAGACCUAGACAAAGUCUAUUCGAAUCAGGACCCCCAAAUCAAAGAGGAAUAAAUAUCUUGGUUUGGGUCGCCAUCAUUCCGUGUGAUAUGCGAGGGAAGCCCUAUCUAGCCUUUUGUUUUUUUUUUCAACCGGCCGACACCUUCUCCCUCUUGUGAUGCAAUUGCAUCUCAUCGUGAUCAUGCCUUUGCUCAAAGUUAAUGCUAAAGGAGAAAAGGAUUGCCAGAGAUUGCUUAAGCCACAAACAAUAUCGUCAUAUUCAUGCGAGAUACAAACACCUGUAGAUCACAUUUUGAUCUUGAGAACCAGCUUCCUUGAUUUGCGUUAAAAGUUUGUGGAGAACUAAUUUUCAGCUCCCUUGAUUGCACAGAUACCAUGCACAAUUGCACAGAUAGUGCACUAGCAGUGAAGUUCAUGGAUAUCCAAUACAACUAGCUCAAAUAGAAUAUUUUUACACGAGCGACUUUUUUUAGCGAAUUAUUCACAGAAUUGAUUUGAUAUGCAAAAUAUUGGCCGCUUCAAAUAAAUCUGUCAUACCAUUAUAUUUAUAUCUAUGAUUAGAGUGCUGAUCGACCUCGGAAUAUUCUAGUAAGACGGAUUAUCCAUCUGCCGACACUGUACGUCGACUUCGAGCGGAGUCAGCCAAUCGCCAAUUCAAGAGGUCGGCGGGGCCGUGCCGGCCACUACUAUCGCGGGACCCACUGCCCGCUGCCCUACGGUACCCUGUCCGGUGCCGGCCGGUGGGCAGUGCACGUAGAUUCAUAUGUGGGUACGGCAUUUCUCAUUUUGUUGUUGAUUUUGCAGCCACGAAAUAUCGGAACAUAUAUAUUUAUGAAUUAUGACACAUGUUGCAUAGAACAACUUAUUGUUGUGCAUAAACCUACAGCAGUUUUGAUAGUACAAGAUAACCUUUUUCAUAAUGGCCAAAGUACCAUACUUUCAUAUUAUUGAUUAUUCCAUCCAUUCGAAAUUGUAGGUCGUUUUGGUUUUUUUUCUAGAUUCAUAGAUAUUAUUAUGCAUCUAGACACAGUGUAUGUUUAGAUGCGUAAUAAUAUCUAUGAACUAGAAAAGUCAAAACGACCUACAAUUUGGAACGGAGGGAGCACUAAGCUUUUCUAAAUAUAUAGAUUUUGCUAUGUAUUUAAAUAUAAUAUUAUAUCGAGAUACAUAACAAAAAUUAUAUAUUAAAAAAUUAAAAUAAUCUAUAUUUUAAAAUGGAAGGAUCGUUGAAAUUGCUCCAUGACAGAGGUUGAAAUUGCUGGUGAAGUUUUUCCUUGCACUUGUGGAGAUAGAUGGAACCAUUUGCCAAGGACCGUCAAGUUGAUCAUGAAUCCAGCGUCCACGGUUUCAUAAUGCGCUACGCAACAAAGUAUGUACACGUGUCGGGUGUUUAGCUUAUUAUACGUGUACGUAUUUCCACAUCGCAAUAACCCACGUCAGCAGUUAACGACCGUCCCAUUCCGCUGGCCGGCCGGCUCUCCGCCUAUAUAACGCGAGCAAGUGCCGAGGUGCCAAGCAGCAACACAAGUAAGCCAAACACAUCAGCUACCAAGCAAGCACCACCAUCCUAUUGUCACUUUCGCGCUUCAACAAGGCCGUCCCGUUUCAUCCAUGGCGGAGGAGAAGCACCACCACCACCACCUCUUCAACCACAAGAAGGACGAUGAGGCGGCGGAGCAGCCCGCCGGCGGGUACGGCGAGUACACGGAGGCGACCGUGACGGAGGUGGUGUCCACCGGCGAGGACGAGUACGACACGUACAAGAAGGAGGAGAAGGAGCACAAGCACAAGCAGCACCUCGGCGAGGCAGGCGCCGUCGCCGCCGGCGCCUUCGCUCUUGUACGUCCUCCUCCUCCUCGAUCUUUCGUGCUUCCUUCGUUGUGCUGAUCAAUCUUUAAUUUCACUGUGUGAUCUAUCGGCCGCGACGCGAAUGAACUUUGGCUCCGAGUUAAAUAAUUCCUUGUGUGCAUGCAGUACGAGAAGCACGAGGCGAAGAAGGACCCCGAGCACGCGCACCGGCACAAGAUCGAGGAGGAGGUCGCGGCGGCGGCGGCCGUGGGCUCCGGCGGCUUCGCCUUCCACGAGCACCACGAGAAGAAGAAGGACCACAAGGACGCCGAGGAGGCCGGCGGCGAGAAGAAGCACCACCACCUCUUCGGCUGAUCUAGCUCGUCUGCACCAGCACCGACGUGUAUCUCUUGUCUACAUAGUAUGCGCUUCUUAAUUUCUCCGUAUAUAUAUGCUGCGCGUGUGUGAGAGUGUGAGACUGAGAGGCGGGCCCGCGCGCCCGGUGUGUGUAUUUUGGCUUUCCUGCGUACGUACAUACAUGUAUGCGUGUGUUGAAUAAGGGGGCCACGGGUUCCGUAUACGUGGCUUCGUACGUGAUCCGUCGUCAUGUAUCUAUGUGUGUGUAUGUCGUACGGUACGUACGAAUGAAAAAAAUGUAUGCAACUCUAAUUUGCG